rnacentral:sRNA from 1 species
UAUUCUGCCCUACCGGGAAGGAUGAGAAGCUUCGACUAAGGUUCGACUCGAGCGUAGCGAGAGAACGUUGCCGCAGGCAACGGCCCGAAGGGCGAGGCGCUUUAGCGCCGAGUAAUCCUUCCCCCACCACCA